AGCGAACGCUGGCGGCAGGCCUAACACAUGCAAGUCGAACGGAUCCUUCGGGAUUAGUGGCGGACGGGUGAGUAACACGUGGGAACGUGCCCUUUGGUUCGGAACAACUCAGGGAAACUUGAGCUAAUACCGGAUGUGCCCUUCGGGGGAAAGAUUUAUCGCCAUUGGAGCGGCCCGCGUCUGAUUAGCUAGUUGGUGAGGUAAAGGCUCACCAAGGCGACGAUCAGUAGCUGGUCUGAGAGGAUGAUCAGCCACAUUGGGACUGAGACACGGCGCAAACUACGACGGGAGGCAGCAAUGGGGAAUAUUGCGCAAUGGGGGAAAGCCUGACGCAACCAUGCCGCGUGAAUGAUGAAGGUCUUAGGAUUGUAAAAUUCUUUCACCGGGGACGAUAAUGACGGUACCCGGAGAAGAAGCCCCGGCUAACUUCGUGCCAGCCGCCGCAGUAA
rnacentral:rRNA from 1 species